GAUGAACGCUGACAGAAUGCUUAACACAUGCAAGUCAUUGGCGAAGCUGCGCUUGCGCAGUCUAGCCAAGGCGGACGGGUGAGUAACGCGUAAGGAACUUGCCCUGCAGACAGGGAUAACAGACGGAAACGACUGAUAACACCUGGUAUUGUCAGGCUGGCGCAUGCCGGCCUGAUGAAAGGAGACGCUGCAGGAGAGCCUUGCGUCCUAUUAGCUAGUUGGUGGGGUAACGGCCCACCAAGGCGAUGAUAGGUAGCCGGCCUGAGAGGGUGAACGGCCACAAGGGGACUGAGAUACGGCCCUGACUCCUACGGGAGGCAGCAGUGGGGAAUAUUGGACAAUGGGGGCAACCCUGAUCCAGCAAUUCUGUGUGCACGAAGAAGGUUUUCGGAUUGUAAAGUGCUUUCAGCAGGGAAGAAGAAAGUGACGGUACCUGCAGAAGAAGCGACGGCUAAAUACGUG
rnacentral:rRNA from 1 species